GAAAAAGUUUAAUUGCUUGAUACAUAUUGUAGAUUGAUCUGCAACUGUAGUUGCCACCAUUUCAGAUAGAUAAUUCAUUCAUCUUGUCGUCAACAUAAACUUAUGGUAUCAAUAAAUACAGUACAAUACUGUAAACAUAUGUUCUUUUCUUUAAGAUUUUGUUAAUAAUUUUUUUCUCUUGCUUAUUUUAUAAUAAGAACACAGCAUGUGACACAUGUAACAUACACAAUACGUUUUUUUUUUUUUUUCGAGACGGAGUCUCGCUGUCGCCCAGGCUGGAGUGUAGUGGCGCGAUCUCGGCUCACAAUAUGUAUUAAUUGACAAUUUAUGUUACAGAGAUGGAGGUCUCACGAUGUUACCCAGGCUGGAGAGCAGUGGCUACUCACAGGCGGGAAUCCCAAGAUGGCCUCCAACUCCUGGACUCAUGCUAUCUCACCUCAGCUUCCUGAGUAGCUGAGACUACAGGCACACACCACCAUGUCCAGCUUCAAUAUCCUUUUAUGUAAGAUGAUGGAACUGAGCUCAUUGAUGUGAGGUGACUUGUUGAAUGUCAUGCGGCUGCAAAUCAUGAGGCUGGCAUCUGAGCUCGGUUCUGAGUGCAGGGACCACAUGCUCUGUCUAUAUGUUACACUCUCCAACCGCAACUCCAACCUGCCACCCACUCCUGAUGAGCCUCUCCGUCUGCAUGACCAUGUGCCCUGCUGUGGUAGGCAGAAUAACAAACACCCACAGGCACCCACAUCCUAAUCCCCAGAACCUGUGAAUAUGUUAUGUUACAUGGCAACAGGGAAUUCAGGUGGCAGGUGGAAAUAUGUUUGCGAACCAGUCGAUCGUGAGAUAGGGGCAUUAUCCUGCGUUAUCAGGGUGGGUCCAGGGUGAUCACAGGAAGAAGGAGGCAGAGGACAGAGUCAGAAAAUGUAUGAUGACAGAAGCAGUGAUUUUAUGUGAGAAAGACUCAACUUGCCAUGCUGGCUUUGAAGAAUGAGGAAGGAGCCACGAGCCAAGGAAUGCCGGCAAAUUCUAGAACUGGAAAAGGUAAGAAAACAGAUUCUCUCUGUGAGGGUUAAUUUUGUGUGUCAACAUGAUUGAGGCCAUGAGGUGCACAGAUUAAAUAUUAUUUCCAGGCAUGUCUGUGAGGGUGUUUCCAGAUGAGAUUAGCAUUUAUUUAAAUCGGUGGACUCAGUAAAGUAGAUGGCCCUCCUCAGUGUGAGUGGCCCUCAUCCAAUCCUUUGAGGGCCUGAGUAGAACAAAAAUCAGAGGAAGGAAGGAUUUGCUGGCUCUGCUUUGCUGCUUGAGCAGACAUGCCGUCUUCCGCCCUUGGAAUGAGAUUUACAACAUUGGCACCCUGGCUCUCAGGUCUCUGCACUUGGUCUGGAAUCACGUUAUUGGCUUUCCUGGGUCUCCAGCUUGCAGACAGCAGAUUGUGAGACUCUUCAGCCUCCAUACUUGUGUGAGCCAAUUUUUCACUACAUAUAUAUUUCCUCUUGGUUCUGUUUUUCUGGAAAACCUUGACUAAUACACUCUACUGCAGCAUCCAAAAAAGAAAUGUAGCCUUUUUGAUAUCUUGAUUUUAACAUAAUGAGACUCAUUUUGAUAUCUGACCUCCAGAACUGAAAGAUAGUAAAUUUGUAUUGCCUAAGCAACUAAGUUUGUGGCAAUUUGCUAUAGCAGCCAUAGAAAUUUAUUACACCUGCUAUGACAGAAGGAAGACCUGAGUUAGUAGUGGCCCUGGACCAAACCAGGGAACACUGGCAAGAGCAGCCAAGCAAGACCCUCUGCAAACAGACAAAGCAUGCAGCCAAACACAGGUGUAAAACAAGAGAUCAGUUAUUUCCUCUCAUAUGCCAAGCACUGUGGGGCAGGAGGUGGAGAAACAUGUUACAAGUACAAAACUAAGCAGGAACAUGGCAAGGGGUGAGACAGCCUGGUACACAGGACAUCUGCCAUGUCAAAUAAUAACUGCCAUUUUGUCUAAAUUAUAAAAAUGUUGAAUGAUUUCUUACACUUAACUGACUUUUAAAUAUUUAUUCUAUUUAACUCAAAAUUAAAUAAGUUUUGACAAUUAGAUAAAGACAUAGGGAUGUUCAUUUGUUUGCCAUUAUUACUAAUUCAUUCAUCUUCAAAAACAAUCUAAACUAAAUGUUAUCUAAUUCCAAUUAUAUUCAAGGACUUUCAAAAUUUAUAAGGAAGGAUGAGGAUGCAUAUUCAGAUAUACAGUGAUGAGACCACUCUGUAUGGAUUUGGGUUUUUAAGACUAGGUCAUCAUAGAGACUUAAGUGUGAAUUCUCAUUUUGCUCCUUCAUAUUUAAAUGAGCCAAGAUGAGUUACUUCUCCUCGAUGACGCUCAAUUACUUUUGGCUAUAAAAUAAAAAUAACAAUAUCUACCCUAGAGAAUUGUUGUAAAGAUUAAAUUGGACAGUGUGUGUGUGUG
rnacentral:lncRNA from 1 species